CCUCAAGCCCCACAUCUUCCUUCACGGCCGGUGUCUAUAAUACCCGGCCCCUCUCACUAGUGACGCUGUAAAGGCCAGUAACAGUAGUAACAAACAUUGUGA